CCUACGGGUGGCUGCAGUGGGGAAUAUUGCACAAUGGGCGCAAGCCUGAUGCAGCCAUGCCGCGUGUGUGAAGAAGGCCUUCGGGUUGUAAAGCACUUUCAGCGGGGAGGAAGGCGUUAAGGUUAAUAACCUUGUCGAUUGACGUUACCCGCAGAAGAAGCACCGGCUAACUCCGUGCCAGCAGCCGCGGUAAUACGGAGGGUGCAAGCGUUAAUCGGAAUUACUGGGCGUAAAGCGCACGCAGGCGGUCUGUCAAGUCGGAUGUGAAAUCCCCGGGCUCAACCUGGGAACUGCAUUCGAAACUGGCGGGCUAGAGUCUUGUAGAGGGGGGUAGAAUUCCAGGUGUAGCGGUGAAAUGCGUAGAGACCUGGAGGAAUACCGGUGGCGAAGGCGGCCCCCUGGACAAAGACUGACGCUCAGGUGCGAAAGCGUGGGGAGCAAACAGGAUUAGAUACCCGAGUAGUC
rnacentral:rRNA from 1 species